rnacentral:lncRNA from 1 species
CAGGGCCUCAGGGGUGUGGACAAGCCCCAAGGCCUGGGGGCUGGGUCCUGAGCGGCGCCCUAGGGGGCGGGCACCCGCAGCAGAGCCCGGAGGUGAACUUGCGCGUCCUGCCGGCCUCGCGGCGCGGGGACCACGCGGUGACCUCGUGUGCGUGCGCGGGGCCACCACGAGCCAGGCGGCCGCGUCCGCCCAGCCCGAGGGCGGGAAGGCAGGUGGGCGCCGGCGGCGGUGCUCACAGCAGAGUCGCUCUGGUCCACGCGCGCGGCUCCUUUGCGCUCCUGAGGUCGGCGGGUACCGGGCAGGCACCUUGGACACCGGCAGCACCCCCCCCCCCCGCCCUCCUCCCGCGCGCUCCUGUGCGCCUGACCCGUGGGGACCGCGAAGCUGCGACAUAAGGACUCGGGAGGGAAGGGGAGGACGUCCCUUCCCCGGGAGCAGGGAGACCUUCCUAACCCCGGUGGGAAACCCACCACCGAUGAAUACAAGAUGGACAUAUUUGUAUAAAAUAGCUUCAGCUUUUGUGUGGCAGGCAUUAUAAAGAAAGUCAACUACAGGACUCGAGGACCCGUGGCUUGCCAUGCAGAGGAUAGCAUAGGGUUAACGGGUACAGGUGGGAAGAACUCUUAAAAAUUGGCAAGGAGUGGAACCCCACUUCCAGAUAAGGAGAGGCUAGGGAAGGGGACAAGGGAGGGGGCUGGGUCUCCAGGCUGGGGGGUCCCCAUGCCUGGAUGCAGGACCUUGGGGAAGGAGAAGCUGGAGAUAAGGAGAGAGAGGGGCUCUGGAGGGGAAGGGAGAGGAGGAGAGGAGAUGAGGAGGGGGCUCCCCUCUCCUGUGCCCCCUGAGGAGUGGGAGGUCUUCCUAACCAAGGAUGGAAACCCAGAACCUGGGAAAUAUGAGAGAAACAUAUUUGCAUAACACUUAAAAAGUGUUGCAAGGCAAUAUGCAAAAGGCUUGAGGAAAAAUUUGGAACACUUAGAAGGGCAUAGAGUUAAUAGCUAUAAUACGUAAAGAGUGCUUGCAAAUUGACAAGAAGAUAUCAAACAACCCCCACCCAAGAAGGACAAGCCUAGGAGGGGGAGGGGGAGGGAAGAAGAGACUGCCCCCUCCCACUCUCUAGGAGCCUGGAGACUUUCUUAACCAAGGCUGGAAAUUUUGAAUCUAUAAGAUAAACAGAGGACCUGUUGAACCGUAUAAAACUUAAACCUUUUGUGUAGGAACAAACACAAACAACAACCUAAUCUGGGGAAAAAAUAGGCAAUUCUUGUAACAUACAAUGGACACUCACCCAUCAGCAAGCAGAAAUGACACAAGUCAAAGGAGAAAUGAAGAAGCAGCACAGGAAGGAGAGGGAGGCUGGGAUCUCGUGGGGGACAGGGCCCCCCAUAUCCGGGAGCCUGGCCAAGGCCCUUCCAAGGCUCUGUGGAAGCUCCGGCCUCCUGCCAGGUGAGAAGAGGGUCAAGAGUGUGGAUGAGCUGAUCAGACAGACGACGGGUCAAGUCGGUGGCUCUGUGGGUGAGUCCAAGUCUCGGCCUCAGUUUCCCUCAUCUGUAAAAUGGGUGGUAUUUCUUCCUGCACUAAGGGUUGUGGUGGAGGCUGCAAGGGGUAGAGAAAGUGCAGGGGUUAGAGGAACAGCCUACAGACUGGGGCCAAAUCUCUGCUUCUCCAGGAGCUUCUGUCACGAUUUCCUCCCCGGGCGCUGUGGAGACCGGGACAGUCUCCAUCUCGGAAUGCCGGUGUGAGGGGCAGACGAACAAGGCAGUAAUGGUACCUACCUCUUAAUCUCAAGUUCGUGGCCGGUGCACAAUAAGCCCGUCACGGAGACACUGUGCCUGGAGAUGGAGACAGGGUUAUUCAAAUUGGCCCAAAUGAGAAGGCGGGAGGAUAGGUUCUCUCAAAUCCAUCUUCACAAAAGAAGAAAUCGGGGGGUUUUCUAGACCUGAGGGGCUCAGCAGGAGGAGUUGUGGAGAAACGAAGGGGAAGCCUGUGUUUCUUCCACUCCAGAUAAGCCCUUGGGCAACUGGACUUCUGGGCGUCCACGGCAGCUGGGGCCGUUACCUGGUGAUUGACACUUCCCUAAAGGCAUCUUUUUUCUUCUGCAAAACAAGCUCAUAAAUCCUUGUGAGCCUUGAGUCAACAAGAAAACAGCAAAUUGACAGGAUUCACUUCCUUUCAUCCGUGUCUGUGUUGGGAACAUGAUCGAAGGAAGAAUGGCCUGCCCUUGAGGAGCCCAUGAGCCCUUGAGAAAAUCAGACGGUAAAUCAA